rnacentral:rRNA from 1 species
UACGUAAGGUCCGAGCGUUGUCCGGAAUCAUUGGGCGUAAAGGGUACGCAGGCGGUUUAAUAAGUCGAAUGUUGAAGAUCGGGGCUCAACCCCGUAAAGCAUUGGAAACUGAUAAACUUGAGUAGUGGAGAGGAAAGUGGAAUUCCUAGUGUAGUGGUGAAAUACGUAGAUAUUAGGAGGAAUACCAGUAGCGAAGGCGACUUUCUGGCCAUUAUCUGACGCUGAGGUACGAAAGCGUGGGUAGCAAACAGG